GGGCGGCGGAGGAAGGGAGGAUGUGGCCGCGGCGGGAAUGGAGCGCGGCUGUCGGCGGGAGGGAGCGCGCGGCCGGAGGAGGUGGGAGCGCGCGGCCGGAGGAGGUGGGGGUGCGAGUCCUGCGGAAGGAAGGAGGUGAGGCCAGUGGAAGGAAGGAGGCGAGGCCAACGGAAGGAGGAGCGCGUGGCCGGAGGAGGGAUGGGGCGCGAGAUAGAUGGAAAGAAGAGCGCGAAGCCGGCAGAAGGAGGGGCGCGAGGCCGGCGGAAGGAGGGGCACCAGGCCGGAGGAAGGAGGGGCGUUAAUCAGGCGGAGGGAGGGGUGCGAGGCAGGUGGAAGGAGGGGCUCUUGGCAGGCGGAAGAGGGGACUCUAGGGUGCCGGCAUGGUGGCGGCCGGUUGGGGAGGUAGACAUUCAUUCCCGUGAACCGGCGGGAGGUGCGGCCCCACCGGGACGAUCGGUAGUCGCCCCCUUCGCCUCAUCGACGGUACCGCCCCCACUUCUGCUCAAGUCCUUGUUGAAACCGAACUCCGACACGUUUCUGGUGGCGGGCAGGGAUGGAAUGGAUGUCCGAGUACCUCGAGUACCUCGAGCUGGAGAGGAGGCACCGGAGGCAGACGUUCAAGCGGCUACUGUAGGAGUAUUUUUUCUUGUUACACAAUGAUGGUACCCUCCGAGGGACGACCUACAGCCGCGGCCUCCCCAUAGGGGCGUCGGUAUCUGAAGAGAAGAGAGGACGUUACGUUCCAUACCAUGAGUGUGGUCAAGUUCAUUACUACAACGUUGUUCAUGUCGAGGAGGGGGACAGUUCGAAUCACUCGGUUUUUUCUCGUACAACUACCUACUAACGAUCGAGCGAAGUAGUAGCCGUCUAAAAGGGCAGAUGAUUGAACACCCAUGACGGCCUCUAUUCAUCAUCCGCCGUUUCACAAAACUUCAUCGUGGUUCUACCCCGUAUUUCGACCGCUCGUCGCGAAGGUGCCCUAGGAGACGUGCGUCAGCCGCAGAGUGGAGUGCGGCGGCGUGCGGUAGAAGGAACGAACAGCCACAGUAUGUCCAAAGAAGCCGGCGGCGGAGCGGGACUGGGUUGAUAGAGCUUAAACGCGACCCUGGCCGGAAGUAGCUUCAAAGAGGGUUAGGAAGCUGGAGCAGCACGGUACGUCGUACGAAGUCAAGUUCUUUUUAGAGUUAUUUUCAAGUCUCAUCAAGUGUGAAGUCAAUCGUGGACCGCAGCCGGCUCCGUUGUUAGGGGUGGAGGGGACUGGUCUAGGAGGUACCGGGAGCCGGUGCUCGAGCAGGUGGUACCAAUGAGCGUCAGCAGUUUCACCUCGUGCCUGUAGUCAGGUUCAUCUUAACUUCGGUGGUAGAAGUGGUAAAAGAAUAGUAAGAGUGUAAUAAAAGAACCACUUAAUCGUUAAUGACGAUAACAUCUUUCCUCGAACAACCACAAAGACAAAGAAAAACCAUACACAAAUACUCGUACACUCCCGUCACCUGUAAAACAGGAAGACUAUUAGAGGAAAUUAUUAUUGUGUGUGGAGGAGAAUUACUCUUCUACACGUUUUGAAAGGUACUGAGAAUUUUUCUCGGCAAAACGUAUACAUAUCAAAACUGGAUGAAUUUAUAACUCGGAUGGUAAAAAAUACUCAUGGUACUCAUAUUACAACAAGAAAAGGAUCGACUCAGGCCACUUCAUGAUUGUUACUCAAAAAACCAGCCGGAAGGUCUAGACCUCACCUUCGAAUAUAUACAACCUAGUCGACUUCUACUCUUGAUAAUAGUCGUUAAACUCUCACACGAACAACCGGGACACUUACAACCCUGUAUGGUAAAACAAGACCUCCAUCAACUUUCCACGUCUGAACCGUCGCCACACCAAGCAAGUUGUUGUCACGUUACUGUUUUUCUUGUAGUCAAGUUUUUUUAAUACGUCCUCCAAACCCUCGGUUUGUUGACCUCCAAGUUUCUAACAGCACCUCGUUCAAGUUCUCAAACCAAAGUACACUUUUUACACUAAAAAACCAGUCCUAAAACGUACUAACUAUCGGUAGUCACCGUCGGCCGCUCAUCAAGUUCGGGCGUACGCGCUCGGCGGGUAGCAGAAGGUGUGCACUAGGAUAACGAACUACUACGAACUGUACUUGAGUUGUUCUACCUACCUUAAAAACGUUACAUUACAUUUACUUAUACCAUUUGUUUAACCCUGUGGUCUAACAAAAUCUCCACCUCAAACACGAGGUCAACUCAACGUCGUCUAACACCGACAACCAACAAAGUUCACUUCCACCAGCCCAUAAUGAACACAUCCUGACUUACUUAGAACAUACAUUUCCUUUGACCUAGCUUAUCAACAGUC
rnacentral:rRNA from 1 species